CCCCUAGAUGUUCUGGGCCGCACGCGCGCUACACUGAACAGUUCAACAAGUCUUAACCUUGGCCGAUAGGUCUGGGUAAUCUUUGAACGCUGUUCGUGAUUGGGAUAGACCUUUGCAAUUAUGGGUCUUCAACGAGGAAUUCCUAGUAAACGCAAGUCAUCAGCUUGCAUUGAUUACGUCCCUGCCCUUUGUACACACCGCCCGUCGCACCUACCGAUUGAAUGUUCCGGUGAAUAAUUCGGACUGCGGUUGCGGGGUCUGUACCACUGCAAUUGCGGGAAGUUUAGUGAACCUUAACAUUUAGAGGAAGGAGAAGUCGUAACA
rnacentral:rRNA from 1 species